rnacentral:snRNA from 1 species
AGGGUUGCCUUCCAUGCCAAGCCA